GUGGGGAGCAAACAGGAUUAGAUACCUGGUAGUCCACGCUGUAAACGAUGUCGAUUUGAGGUUGCGCCCUUGAGGCGUGGCUUUCGGAGCUAACGCGUUAAAUCGACCGCCUGGGGAGUACGGCCGCAAGGUUAAAACUCAAAUGAAUUGACGGGGGCCCGCACAAGCGGUGGAGCAUGUGGUUUAAUUCGAUGCAACGCGAAGAACCUUACCUACUCUUGACAUCCAGAGAACUUAGCAGAGAUGCUUUGGUGCCUUCGGGAACUCUGAGACAGGUGCUGCAUGGCUGUCGUCAGCUCGUGUUGUGAAAUGUUGGGUUAAGUCCCGCAACGAGCGCAACCCUUAUCCUUUGUUGCCAGCGGUUCGGCCGGGAACUCAAAGGAGACUGCCAGUGAUAAACUGGAGGAAGGUGGGGAUGACGUCAAGUCAUCAUGGCCCUUACGAGUAGGGCUACACACGUGCUACAAUGGCGUAUACAAAGAGAAGCGACCUCGCGAGAGCAAGCGGACCUCAUAAAGUACGUCGUAGUCCGGAUUGGAGUCUGCAACUCGACUCCAUGAAGUCGGAAUCGCUAGUAAUCGUAGAUCAGAAUGCUACGGUGAAUACGUUCCCGGGCCUUGUACACACCGCCCGUCACACCAUGGGAGUGGGUUGCAAAAGAAGUAGGUAGCUUAACCUUCGGGAGGGCGCUUACCACUUUGUGAUUCAUGACUGGGGUGAAGUCGUAACAAGGUAACCA
rnacentral:rRNA from 1 species